rnacentral:rRNA from 1 species
AUGGUGCCAUGCUAUAGUAUCAAUGCCAUGCACCCAAAGGCCAGGAAUAUUUUAAAGCUUCUGCGCUUGAGAUGGAUCUUCAAUGGACUGUUCCUGACGCUGAAGGUCAACAAAGCCACCAUCAACAUGUUGCUCAGGGUCGAGCCAUAUGUUGCAUAUGCUUACCCAAACCUAAGGAGUGUUAGGGAGUUGAUGUACAAGCGAGGUUUGGGCAAGCUCAACAAGCAAAUGAUUCAUCUCGCCAGCAACAAAGUCAUCGAGGAGGGUGUUGGAAAGCACAACAUGAUAUGCAUUGAGGACCUUGUUCACGAAGAUCUGUUAGUCGGCCCACAAUUGAAGGAGGUGAACAAGUUCAUCUGGCCAUCCAAGCUGAAGGAGUCGCUGGGAGGUCUCAAGAAGAAGAGGAACCACUACGUUGAGGGUGGUGAAACGCGCAACUGUGAGAACUGCAUCAACCAGCUCAUUGGGAGGAUGAACUAG